rnacentral:tmRNA from 1 species
GGGGUUGUUUGGUUUUGACAGCGAGGGAGUGGAGGUGUAAGCAUGCCGGGCGUUGUGAAAGUGGCCCGUUAAUCCCAAUUCUCACAGCCUUUAAAUGGCAAUGAUUACAAUUAUCAGUUAGCUGCUUAAUCUAGGUAUUAAAUAGCUACUUGUUCUCCGGGCAGCCUCGACCGACGGCGGCUCGAUAUAGGACAUCGCAAAUGUCGGAAUAGUUCUGUCUGCUCCCCGCAGGCAUUGCGAAACAACAGGGGAUAAGGAACAAGUAGGUCUGCUGACUGCCGGCUUGUUUCCGACAACUAAGUGACAGAUAAGCAUGUAGAAAGCAGUUUUGCUACUUGUUUGGACGCGGGUUCGAAUCCCGCCAGCUCCACAA